rnacentral:rRNA from 1 species
UACGAAGGAUCCAAGCGUUAUCCGGAUUUAUUGGGUUUAAAGGGUGCGUAGGCGGCUUAUUAAGUCAGCGGUGAAAGCCCGGAGCUUAACUCCGGAACUGCCAUUGAUACUGAUGAGCUUGAAUGUAGUUGAGGUGGGCGGAAUGUGUCAUGUAGCGGUGAAAUGCUUAGAUAUGACACAGAACACCAAUUGCGAAGGCAGCUCGCUAAACUACUAUUGACGCUGAGGCACUAAAGCGUGGGGAGCAAACAGG